rnacentral:rRNA from 1 species
UACGGAGGGUGCAAGCGUUAUCCGGAUUCACUGGGUUUAAAGGGUGCGUAGGUGGGAAUGUAAGUCAGUGGUGAAAUCUCCGUGCUUAACAUGGAAACUGCCAUUGAUACUAUGUUUCUUGAAUUAUCUGGAGGUCAGCGGAAUAUGUCAUGUAGCGGUGAAAUGCUUAGAUAUGACAUAGAACACCAAUUGCGAAGGCAGCUGGCUACAGGUAUAUUGACACUGAGGCACGAAAGCGUGGGGAUCAAACAGG